rnacentral:rRNA from 1 species
AACGAACGCUGGCGGCAUGCCUAACACAUGCAAGUCGAACGAGAUCUUCGGGUCUAGUGGCGCACGGGUGCGUAACGCGUGGGAAUCUGUCCUUUGGUUUGGAAUAACAGUUGGAAACGACUGCUAAUACCGGAUGAUGACGAAAGUCCAAAGAUUUAUCGCCAGAGGAUGAGCCCGCGUAGGAUUAGCUAGUUGGUGUGGUAAAGGCGCACCAAAGCGACGAUCCUUAGCUGGUCUGAGAGGAUGAUCAGCCACACUGGGACUGAGACACGGCCCAGACUCCUACGGGAGGCAGCAGUGGGGAAUAUUGGACAAUGGGCGAAAGCCUGAUCCAGCAAUGCCGCGUGAGUGAUGAAGGCCUUAGGGUUGUAAAGCUCUUUUACCCGGGAUGAUAAUGACAGUACCGGGAGAAUAAGCUCCGGCUAACUCCGUGCCAGCCGCCGCGGUAA